ncrna:unclassified sequences NiCo riboswitch
ACAGUACAAACUGAACAGGCCGAUAGGAGCCGGGUCACAUUAGUGACAGUGGAUUAUUAUGUUUUUUAUGUAUUUAUAUACAAUAUGAGAUUUAUCAUAUAUCGUCAAAUGAUUGCUGAUAGAAAUUAUCAUAUCCACGGGACAGUA